UUGUGGCAUGUGGGACGUCGCCUCAGCGUGGUUUGAUGAGCAGUGCCAUGUCCGUGCCCAGGAUUCGAACCGACGAAACACUGGGCUGCCUGCAGCGGAGCGCGCGAACUUAACCACUCGGCCACGGGGCCGGCCCCUGGAUGGAGUAGUUUUAAAUCAACUUACCCGUAAAGAACCUCCACCCAAGAAAGAUGCAAAGUCUCAACCAAGGCCACACAUCGUCUCCUCCCGACCAGAGAAGUAAGCAGGUUUGGACGACGUGUUGGUCAGCUGGAGCCAAGACGGGGCUCGUCCUCUCUGAACCAAAGGAGUGAAGAGAGAAAGGUUCAGUCCCCCAAAGAAAACAAGUGUUUCUGCCAGAAAGGAGGACACCCGGCCGGCAAACGCAGUAGAUAAAGAUGUCUGUUCAGGGCUGGUACUUGGUUUACAGGAGAAGGCGGCUGGGCUGGGGGGAGGUGAAACGACUGUUAUGUCCAGUGUGUGCCAACCCAACAGCUAGGAGGGGAGGGAUAUGACCAGGGGAAGACACUGUCUCCCCUGGCUUCACCCAGGAAAAGGCCAGAGACAAGGAUGUUAAUGGAAGGGGUCUAUCUGGUAGGGGAAGGACACACACUGGCAGCAGGGAGGGGACACAAGACAGAAAAGGGCAGGCAGCCAAGCAGGGGCCUGUUUCAGGCGCGUCGGAGCUGUGGGUAGUGAAGCCCAAUCCCACAGGGGGCCUGCGAGACUGCAGAGACCCCGCCUCAGAGUUAUCCCACCCAAAGGCUGGGGGAGUUGGGGUGCCCAGCCACCAAGGCCAGGGCGCGAGGGCUGUCCCCGCAGGUUGGUCCCCUGGCAUGACUGGACCGCCGUGCAGGUGGACACAGGUGUGUUCCGGAGCGUUGGAGGAAGGAGGCAGGUACACAGAUGCAGGGACUGGCUGUCGGACUUCAACUUGCAGGCUAUGGCAGGGCCCCAGGAGUGUCUGCUGUGGAACCAACACUGUUUAAGUCACCACGUGUGCUCUCCAAGUAAGCACUUCAAAUCCCAGCAAGAGCUCUGCGAGGCAGCUCUCAACAUCCAGAUCCACGAGGAGCCUCAGGAAGCGGCCCUCAGCUGGCAAGAUGGAAGGGCCUCUCUGCCUCCCGGCGAGUCCUGGUACCAAGGAGCAAAAGAUGCCUCUGCCCGCGAAGCCUCUGCUGGGAAGCCAGGACCCUCGUCUCCUUGUUUAAAACCGUCCGGGCACCGCCCUGUCUUCCAUCCCUCAAGUGGGAGGGACGCCCCAGCUGUUCCAGCGCCACUGCCACUCUGA
rnacentral:lncRNA from 1 species